ensembl:miRNA mir-8205 miscRNA
UGGCAGACUUCGUUGAGGCUAUGACUACAAACUACAAUUUUCGUUUAGCCUCACCCAGUUUUCCACG